rnacentral:rRNA from 1 species
CACUACGUAUGACUACACGGACCUGGCUUUUCAAGACGGCGGCCCUUCUUUCAACACUGUGGUGUAUUGCGUGGACGUGUCGGCCGUCUCCUUAGAAGAUGACCACGUCGUCGAUUUCGAUGUUCAGUAAGGUGUGGCGGCGACUUCCAUAGUUCGUCGUGUUUUGUUUUGUUGGGUUGGAUCUGUUCCAAGGUUUAAUAAGAGUCGCCACUUAAGUCCUAAGUGUCUAUAUAAAAUUAGGAGAGCACACCUACCUAC